rnacentral:rRNA from 1 species
UACGGAGGGUGCGAGCGUUAUCCGGAAUUACUGGGUUUAAAGGGUGCGUAGGCGGGGCAUUAAGUCAGUGGUGAAAUCUGGUCGCUUAACGCUCAAACUGCAAUUGAUACUGAUACGCUUGAAUUGGGUUGAGGUUAGCGGAAUGUGACGUGUAGCGGUGAAAUGCGUAGAUAUGUCAUGGAACACCAAUUGCGAAGGCAGCUAGCUGGGCCUUGAUUGACGCUGAGGCACGAAAGCGUGGGUAGCGAACAGG